rnacentral:rRNA from 1 species
CGGUAAUUCCAGCUCCAAUAGCGUAUACUAAAGUUGUUGCAGUUAAAAAGCUCGUAGUUGGAUUUCUGCGGGGACGGAGCGGCCGGACGCAACUUGCGUCUCGAGCUAGCGCUUUCCCCGCAUCCUGCCGCGAACCGUGCUACCAUUAGCUUGGUGGCGCUGGGGAUCGGCUCGAUUACUUUGAGAAAAAUAGAGUGUUCAAAGCAGGCCACACGCCUUGAAUAAGUUAGCAUGGAAUAAUGACUAAGGACUUCGGUUCUAUUUUGUUGGUGUUCGGGACUGAAGUAAUGAUUGAUAGGGACAGUUGGGGCGGUCUGUAUUCCAAAGCGAGAGGUGAAAUUCUUAGACCUUCGGAAGACAAACAGCUGCGAAAGCGUUCCGCAAGGAUGUUCCCUUUGAUCAAGAACGAAAGUUGGGGGAUCGAAGACGAUCAGAUACCGUCGUAGUCUCAACUAUAAACUAUACCAGCUAGGGAUCGGUCAACGUUUAAUCAUUCGACUUGAUCGGCACCUUAUGAGAAAUCAAAGCAUCUGGGUUCCGGGGGGAGUAUGGUCGCAAGGCUGAAACUUAAAGGAAUUGACGGAAGGGCACCACCAGCCGUGGAGCCUGUGGCUUAAUUUGACUCAACACGGGAAAACUUACCAGGUCCAGACAUAGUAAGGAUUGACAGAUUGAUAGCUCUUUCUUGAUUCUGUGGGUGGUGGUGCAUGGCCGUUCUUAGUUGGUGGAGUGAUUUGUCUGGUUAAUUCCGUUAACGAACGAGACCCCAGCCUGCUAAAUAGCGCGGCUGAGCUUUGCUCGGUGCGAGCUUCUUAGAGGGACUAUGAUGCGCGAUAGCACAUGGAAGUUUGGGGCAAUACCAGGUCUGUGAUGCCCUUAGAUGUUCUGGUCCGCACACGGGCUACACUGGCGCCUGCAACGAGCAUAUCAGCUGGCCCGAGAGGGUCUUGGCUAAUCUUUUGAACCGGCGCCGUGCUUGGGAUUGACCAUUGCAAUUGUUGGUCAUGCAACGAGGAAUGCCUUGUAAACGCGAGUCAUCAGCUCGCAUUGAAUACGUCCCUGCCCUUUGUACACACCGCCCGUCGCUCCUACCGAUGAAUGUUCCGAUGAAAUUUUCGGAGAGCGCCAGAGAACGGGGCUCUGCCUUGCAGAUCUGGAGGCUCAAAGUCACUUAAAUCUGAACAUUUCGAGGAAGGAGAAGUCGUAACAAGGUAACC